GAUGAACGCUGGCGGCGUGCUUAACACAUGCAAGUCGAACGGACUUUACAUGAAGCCUAGCGAAUGUAAAGUUAGUGGCGGACGGGUGAGUAACGCGUGGGUAACCUGCCAUAUGCUGGGGGACAACAGUUAGAAAUGACUGCUAAUACCGCAUAAGCGCACAGUAUCGCAUGAUACAGUGUGAAAAACUCCGGUGGCAUAUGAUGGACCCGCGUCUGAUUAGCUAGUUGGUGAGGUAACGGCUCACCAAGGCGACGAUCAGUAGCCGGCCUGAGAGGGUGAACGGCCACAUUGGGACUGAGACACGGCCCAAACUCCUACGGGAGGCAGCAGUGGGGAAUAUUGCACAAUGGGGGAAACCCUGAUGCAGCGACGCCGCGUGAGUGAAGAAGUAUUUCGGUAUGUAAAGCUCUAUCAGCAGGGAAGAAAAUGACGGUACCUGACUAAGAAGCCCCGGCUAACUACGUGCCAGCAGCCGACGG
rnacentral:rRNA from 1 species